rnacentral:rRNA from 1 species
GAUGAACGCUGGCGGCGUGCCUAAUACAUGCAAGUCGAGCGAACGGACGAGAAGCUUGCUUCUCUGAUGUUAGCGGCGGACGGGUGAGUAACACGUGGAUAACCUACCUAUAAGACUGGGAUAACUUCGGGAAACCGGAGCUAAUACCGGAUAAUAUUUUGCACCGCAUGGUUCAAAAGUGAAAGACGGUCUUGCUGUCACUUAUAGAUGGAUCCGCGCUGCAUUAGCUAGUUGGUAAGGUAACGGCUUACCAAGGCAACGAUGCAUAGCCGACCUGAGAGAGGGAUCGGCCACACGGGAACUGAGACACGGACCAGACUCCUACGGGAGGCAGCAGUAGGGAAUCUUCCGCAAUGGGCGAAAGCCUGACGGAGCAACGCCGCGUGAGUGAUGAAGGUCUUCGGAUCGUAAAACUCUGUUAUUAGGGAAGAACAUAUGUGUAAGUAACUGUGCACAUCUUGACGGUACCUAAUCAGAAAGCCACGGCUAACUACGUG